UCCUCGAUAGCUCAGUCGGUAGAGCAAUCGGCUGUUAACCGAUCGGUCGUAGGUUCGAGUCCUACUCGAGGAG
rfam:Veillonella parvula strain SHI-1 CONTIG_1, whole genome shotgun sequence.